GGGGAAUAUUGGGCAAUGGGCGCAAGCCUGACCCAGCAACGCCGCGUGAAGGAAGAAGGCUUUCGGGUUGUAAACUUCUUUUAAGAGGGAAGAGAAGAAGACGGUACCUCUUGAAUAAGCCACGGCUAACUAC
rnacentral:rRNA from 1 species